GAGCCCACAAGGCAUAUCCUGACUCCAUUAAUGCAGCCUAAGAUUCUUUGCUUGUCGGCAGCUGUAUGCAUCUGGCUCAAAUUGAACUUGUGGCCAACGAGAAGCCCCAGAACUACUUCCCAGGAACUGCUGUCUGGCCAAGUCUCCCCAUUCCCAGAAGUGAAUAAUUGAUGCCAGAAUCCACAUCAAUCCCUGCAAUUCCUUUCAAGGCAAAGUCAUCAGAAAGAAAGAAGAAAAGAAAAAAAGAAAGAGAGAGAAAGAAAAAGAAAGAAAGAAGAAAGAAAAAGAAAGAAAGAAAGAAAGAAAGAAAGAAAGAAAGAAAGAAAGAAAGAAAAAGAAAGAGGGAGAGAGAAAAGGACAACGACAGAGAUCUGUAAAUGACCACAAUUGAUUAAACUCUUCGGGGAGAGAGAUAAUAACUCUGCCCUGCAAGUGUUUCUUCUGCCCAAUCUCAUCCCCUUUUUGGAGAAAGAAAUUGUCCCCCAAGAUUGUCCCAUUUUGUCCUAAGGCUGGGGCUGGCCUGGAGAGAGCCUCUGAAGGCUUAUCAUGAAGCUACUUCCUUUAGGAUACGGCACCAUGAUCACUGUGGCAAAACCCACCUUUAUUUUCUCCAUUAGGUAACAUCACAGAGAAAAAAAAAGAUCUCAUGGGAUUUUGCCUUUUUUUUCUUUUGGACAUUUUUAUUGUGUCUGGGUUUUCCACUCAAGUUUUUAGGAUUUCUGGCAUCAGACACUUGCCUUUGUCUCCCAUUUCUUUGUGGUGAUUGCCAAAUGCCCACAUACUAUUUACACCUCCCAUUCUCUCUAGGGUUUCUAAUGCCUCUCUUUCUUAUGACUAGCAUUUCUUCCUAAACCUUUGCCUCUUUUUUCCUAAGCAGCAGGAGAGCUCCCAGAGUCUCAAGAUAAACAGUAAACAAGAUUGUGCAUUUCAAUGACAAAUACAACAGGCAACCUAUUUUUUCAUCCCCACGUCAUUUUUAACUUGGGGAUGGUUACUUCUUCGGUUUUCCUUCUCUGAACAUUGUCAGGCCCUGUUCCUCUUUCGUUUUGGUCUUGUUGCAAUCUCUUCGUGAAUUAAUGUUUCAGUGAGUGUACUUGUGACAAGGCAUAUGGAGCGGGCCUCCUCUUUAACUCAAAUUUCCUUCUUCCCAGGCACAACAGAAAUUUGCUGUACACACUGCAAGACAAAGAACAAAAAGACCUCACUCGCUGAGCGAAAAGAUCCAGUCGUAUACAUGAUUUCACCGGGUUUCCAACUGUAUAAUGAAAUCGAACUCCUCCCUCGGGAGGGGGUUCCCUCCCCCACCUACUGCACACACAAAAUUCUACCCACUUCUUUCCAAGGACACACUUUGUUCUAAAUCCCCAGUGGCUUUACUCCUGCACACAAAAAAAGAGCAGAAGUCUGCACCUAAGUUGUAAGCGUGAGCUGCGAUCUUUCUCUGAGCCCAAGAUGAAAGGAGUAGAUGGAAAGGAAUUACUCAGUGUGAAGUAUGCAUUUGUAAUAAGCAGGCAUGGGAUGCUAUGUAGUGAUCUUGACAUGGCUGAUAGGGGAUGAGGAGGUGAGGAUGGGAUAGACUUUUUCUUUUCAUUUUCAUGAAUCUCUUACUCUCAAGCUGAAGGAGAGACUAAAAACCACAGGAAAGGGCACGAGUUUAUUAUCACAGAUUUUUAAUGGGUUAAUAAUGUUCUGCUUAAAACCCUCGUUUUAAAAAAAAAGUUAAUUCGAUCCAUUUUUCUUUGGAUUACAGCAACUUUAGGACAGGUGUGGUGUAAUAGGAGUCGCUUUCAGAAAGGAGUGAGUGUGUUUGAGCAGAGAAUCACUGGGUACACACCAGACUACUUAUUGUAGCACUGUUUGUAGAAGCAAACACUGAAAGCCACCAAAAAGUCUGUGAAAAAGGGCAAGUGAAAUACAUUAAGGAAUACCAUUUAAAGAAAUACUAUGCCACCACUUAAAACAUCAAGUUUUUCUAACACAGAGUGCUGUCCAAGAGAUUUAAGUGGAAAAUGCAAGCUGAAAGAUACUUGUGUAAAGACAAAGAAAGGUGUGAGCGUUCGAUAUGCAUAUAUGCUGAUCUAUGCGUGGACUAUUUCUGGCAUGAGACACUACAAACUGCUAAUAGUCAUUGUCUGCGGGGGAGGAGGGAGACCCACCCUUCCCCACAAGCCCUAUAAUUUGAAUUUUCCCCAGGAGCAUGUAUGACAUGGUUCCCCAAAAUUUAUAGCUCACUAGAAAAAUACCUACAUUGGAAAUUGUCCAUGAUCGAUACUCAAAG
rnacentral:lncRNA from 10 species